AGUGAACGCUGGCGGCAGGCCUAACACAUGCAAGUCGAGCGGCAGCGCGGGGGCAACCCUGGCGGCGAGCGGCGGACGGGUGAGGAAUUCGUCGGAAUCUGCCUUUUUGUGGGGGAUAACGUAGGGAAACUUACGCUAAUACCGCAUACGUCCUACGGGAGAAAGUGGGGGACCGCAAGGCCUCACGCAGAAAGAUGAGCCGACGACCGAUUAGCUAGUUGGUGGGGUAAAGGCCCACCAAGGCGACGAUCGGUAGCUGGCCUGAGAGGAUGAUCAGCCACACUGGGACUGAGACACGGCCCAGACUCCUACGGGAGGCAGCAGUGGGGAAUAUUGGACAAUGGGCGCAAGCCUGAUCCAGCCAUGCCGCGUGUGUGAAGAAGGCCUUCGGGUUGUAAAGCACUUUUGUCCGGAAAGAAAUCCCUGGAGCUAAUACCUUCGGGGGAUGACGGUACCGGAAGAAUAAGCACCGGCUAACUUCGUG
rnacentral:rRNA from 1 species